UAUGUGAUCGUCUCUCGCAUAUCAAUAAGCGGAGGAAAAGAAACUAACAAGGAUUCCCCUAGUAACGGCGAGUGAAGCGGGAAGAGCUCAAAUUUGAAAUCUUAAAGGGUUUCCCUUUACGAAUUGUAGUUUAAAGAAGUGUUUUCUGUUGAGGUUUUGGUAAAAGUUCUUUGGAAUAGGACAUCAUAGAGGGUGAGAAUCCCGUAUUUGACCUUUACUUUCAACUUUGUGAUACACUUUCAAAGAGUCGGAUUGUUUGGGAAUGCAGUCCAAAAUGGGUGGUAAAUUUCAUCUAAAGCUAAAUAUUGGCGAGAGACCGAUAGCGAACAAGUACCGUGAGGGAAAGAUGAAAAGAACUUUGAAAAGAGAGUUAAACAGUACGUGAAAUUGUCAAAAGGGAAGCGUUUGACACCAGUGUUGUUUUUCUGAAAAUCAAUUAAAGAACUGUUUAUGCUAAGUUGUUUAGACUUUAUCAGCUAUCUGUUUAGUUUUGAGCUUUUCUUUAAUGCACUUUUCAGUUAACAAGUCAACAUCAAUUUCUUUUGCUGUAAAAAAGCUUGAGGAAGGUGGCUUGAGAUUCGUCUUAAGUGUUUAUAGCCUCUUGCCUAUGCAGUCGGAGAGAUUGAGGUCUGCAGCGUAGAUCCUUCGGGGCUAAAUGCAUUUGUGCUAAGUUAUAACAUUUUAUAGACAACUUGUUGACUAUGAUUUGUCUUGUAGCUUACUCGCUUAUGUUAUUUUACCUACGCUUAGGAUGUUGAGGUCAUCGUAUCGCGC
rnacentral:rRNA from 1 species